rnacentral:rRNA from 1 species
UACGUAGGUGGCAAGCGUUGUCCGGAUUUACUGGGCGUAAAGCGCGCGCAGGCGGACUGAUCAGUCUGGGGUGAAAUCUCCCGGCUCAACUGGGAGCGGUCCCUGGAUACUGUCAGUCUUGAGAGACCUAGAGGAGAGCGGAAUUCCCGGUGUAGUGGUGGAAUGCGUAGAUAUCGGGAAGAACACCAGUGGCGAAAGCGGCUCUCUGGGGUUUGCUGACGCUGAGGCGCGAAAGCGUGGGAGCGA